rnacentral:lncRNA from 1 species
UUAUUAUUAUUAUUAUUAUUAUUAUUAUAAUUUUUUUUUUUUUUCCGCCAACUUUUGUUCUUGCGAUAAAUGUUUGUUUCGCAAUAUGUCGCUUAGAUUUUUUCUCAUAUUGUAUCGUAUAGUUUAUGCGCUUUUAAAUUUCACCCUGCUAAGACGAACCAUUUUCUUUGUAAGAGUUAUCUCCCUAUUCACUGUUUAUCAUGUGUGUGCAUCUCCUUCGUAACAAAAAAAGAAAUAGCGACAAAAUUCUUUUUACAAAUUGUUCGUUACAUCCUCAGAAAAUUUUGGCUAAUUUGGAUCGAAGCGAUUCGAUGAAAUUUUAUAGGAGUUAUGUACCUUUACGGAAUAAAUUUGUCGGUAUGUUUUUUUAACUCAUAAACCGUUAACCGUAUAACCCUGGAAUGUUUUUAUUUGAGUCCCCUGAUUCCUAACUUAGAAAAUUAGGUCAAGGUCAAAGGUCAAGGUCAUAUUUUAGAUUUUCAUAUGUCUUUGAUUUCCCUAUAA